GUUUGAUCAUGGCUCAGAACGAACGCUGGCGGCGUGCUUAACACAUGCAAGUCGAGCGUGAUUGAGAGCUUGCUCUCAUGAAAGUGGCGCACGGGUGAGUAACACGUGGAUAAUCUGCCUGGCGAUUCGGGAUAACACUUCGAAAGGGGUGCUAAUACCGGAUAAGCCCACAGCCUCUUCGGAGGGUGCGGGAAAAGGGGGCCUCUGUAUAUGCUCCUGUCGCGAGAUGAGUCCGCGGCCCAUUANCUAGUUGGUAGGGUAAUGGCCUACCAAGGCGACGAUGGGUAGCUGGUCUGAGAGGAUGAUCAGCCACACUGGGACUGAGACACGGUCCAGACUCCUACGGGAGGCAGCAGUGGGGAAUUUUGCGCAAUGGGCGAAAGCCUGACGCAGCAACGCCGCGUGAGUGAUGAAGGCCUUCGGGUCGUAAAGCUCUGUCAGGGGGGAAGAACCGCCGGGUAGCUAAUACCUGCCUGGUCUGACGGUACCCUCAAAGGAAGCACCGGCUAACUCCGUGCCAGCAGCCGCGGUAAUACGGAGGGUGCCAGCGUUGUUCGGAAUUAUUGGGCGUAAAGCG
rnacentral:rRNA from 1 species